rnacentral:rRNA from 2 species
AAAUUGAAGAGUUUGAUCAUGGCUCAGAUUGAACGCUGGCGGCAGGCCUAACACAUGCAAGUCGAACGGUAACAGGAAGAAGCUUGCUUCUUUGCUGACGAGUGGCGGACGGGUGAGUAAUGUCUGGGAAACUGCCUGAUGGAGGGGGAUAACUACUGGAAACGGUAGCUAAUACCGC